CCCCCAGCCUGACCCCGCAGAGCCACGCCCACGGCCAGCGCCUCGUUUGCUCGGCCGCUAACGAGGCCAGGGCCGGCCCCCAGCGAGGCCAGUCUCACCCUCGACGUCCUCUUUCCCCCCGACCCCCCCACCAUCGAGGGACUGGAGUCGCCCCACGUGCGGGCGGGGGACACCCUGCGACUGGUCUGCCUCGUGCGGGGGGGCAACCCCCCUCCCAGUCUGCACUGGGACAAGGACGGGGUGCCGCUGGGGGGGCCCUGGGUGCGGGAGGGGCCCCCCGGGGUGUCCCGCAGCCGGGUGACGCUGACGGUGGCCCCCGGGGACGACGGGGCCACCCUGCGCUGCCGCACGCACCCCCCCCCCGCCCGCGGCCACGCCAGCGCCAGCGUCACCCUCAGCGUCACCUACGGCCCGCCCGAGGUGCGGAUCGCGGGCGCGGGGGCGGUGCCCGAGAACGCCUCGUUGUCGCUGAGCUGCAGCAGCGGCCCCAGCAACCCCCCGGCGCGGCUGCGCUGGUGGCUGGGGGGCAGGGAGCUGCGCGCGCCCGACAGCGCC